CAGUUUCAUCCUUAUUUGGUUUUAGGAUUGUGAGAAUUUCCGAAAAUUUCCAGGUAUUUGGUACAUUUUGUUUCUCCAUUAUUUCAUUAAACAGUGUAACAAGGUUGGGGGUAAUAUCGUCCUUAAAUAUUUUAUAAAAGUUUGUUGUAAAGCCAUCUGGCCCAGGGGAUGAAUUUAUUUUUAGACUUUCUAUUGUUUGUUCAUUUUCUGUUUUAGUUAUUGUACUAUUUAGUAGGGUUGGGCAAAAAAUUCGAAUCCUUCUGAUGUCGUAUCCAAUUCGUAUGUUUUCUCACUUUUGAACUGUGUUUAGAAAAAGGUUAUCCUGUCGUAUGUAUCCCACGAUAUCGAACCCUUGAUUGCCAAUUUUUUGAAUGGUGUCGAAUGUUUCGGAGGGGGCAAGCAUUUGCAAAGGGCUCCUGGACUACUUGACUGCUUAUGGAGCGCUUUAAUCCGCUUUGCAGAACGAGCGCCGCUUUAAUCCGCUUUGGAGAACGAGCGGGGGGAGAGGUCUGGGUGUGCUGGAGUGCUUGGCUGUUGCUUGCAAUGGUGUGAAUCCUAGGGAGGUUUUGGAUGGUUGACCCAAGACUUUUGGGAAUUGUAGUUCACCCAUACAUUUUCUCAUGGGAGCAUUCAUAAAAAAAAAGAGAGAGAGAGACACCAUGGUGUAAUGUAGUGCAGGGGUUCAUAGUCCCUCAGACUGUUGAGGGGCCAGACUGUGGUGAAAUAGUCCAAAAUUAGGAUUGUUGUUGUUGUGUGCCUUCAAGUCAUUUCAGACUUAAGUCAACCCUAAGUGUAAAGUUUAGGACAGGGGCCAGGUCAAUGGCAUUGGAGGGCCGCAUCUGGCCAACGGCCCUUAGUUUGGGGACUCCUGGUGUAGUGCAUUAUGGUUUCCUGAGUCCACCAAUUUAACAAAGUUUCAGCCACAAAAACAAAGUUUCUGAAGUAGAACAUUGACUUUCAAAGUAAAGACAACCCAAUGAAACAGGAAAUAAGACUUCCAAACCAGGAACAGAUUUCUGCAAUUAUUAUAAAAGGGUUUAUUAUAAAAGCUAUAAAAAUUCGCCAAAAAUCAGAGGAUAAGGGAAAUGUUCUGAAUUUUCGUGAGCUAUCAGUGUUAAAUGUGUUCUACCACUGUACCAAGUUUGAAGAAGAUAGCUCAAAAAAUGAGGGCGGGAGAGACCUGCAAAGUCUCCCCCCACUUUUUUUUGGCCACUGCGCAUGCGCGUCCGCCAUUAACGAAUUACUUUUGAAAUUAACGAAUUUUCGUUAAAUUUUGAAAUUUUUGAGGGGCAAAAUUUGGAAAUGACAUCAGAAACGAAACACUAGCGCCCCCUACUUUUGAAGCGAGUUUAGAAUCAAUUUUUUCAUGGAUCGCUCAAGCCUACUAUUUAGAUUAGAUUUUGCCUGUGAAUUUAUUAUUUUUUCCAAGAGGCCUACUUGUUUGAUUGACUCUUUACCUUCGUAAAGUUUUUCAUAGUAAUGAGCCAUAAUCUCCCUGAUUUCCUCCUCUGUAGAUCUCAAAUGUCCUCUAUCAUCUUUCAACUUAAGUAUUCUGUUUCUAGCUUGUUUUGAUUUUAGGACUCUGGCCAAUCUCUUCGAAUUAUUAAUUGAAUUGAUUUGAUAAUCAUUUUUAACCCAUAAGUAUUUUUUUGUGGUCUCUAUUUUAUCUAAAUUCUCCAAUUGCUUUUUUUUUCUUUCCAGUUUGUCUUAUUUUCUACUGUUGGAUUUUUUUGGAAUUGUAGGAAUGCGUCCUCAGUCUCUAAUCUUAAUUUGUCAAAUGUAUGCUUUUCUUUCCUAUUGAUCCCUAUUUCCAAUGAGAUGCAAGUGCCCCUUAUGGUUGCUUUAAAAGCAUCCCAUAAAGUCUCUUCUUUUAUUUGUGGUUGUCUAUUAAAUCGAAAAAAUUCUUGAUUCUGUUGUUUAAUGACCUGUUUAUCCUUUUCAUUGAAUGUUACCUUGGGGUUGAAUAGCCAUUUCCUCGAUGGCUUCCUUACUGGGUUUCCUAAUUUUAACAGGAGGGGAGCAUGAUCUCCUGGCCAGUCGUUCCCCACUUUAAUCUCCUUUAUUUGUCUUGAAUUAUUAAUUCCAACUAUGAAGUAGUCUAUUGCAGUGAAUUUUGUAUGCCUAUGGGAAUAAAAGGUUGGGGUAUUUGCCUCCACUCCCAAUCUAUUAUGCACUUCUAUGAGGUUCCACUUUUUGAAAUUGAUUUUGCAUUCAGGCUUACCUGGGUUCCACCCUAUUUUUUUGUUUGUUUAUAUAGUUCCAUGUUAAGAUCUCCCCCUAUUAUUAUAUCUCCUUUUGCUUGUUUUUCAAUUUUAGCACAAUACUUUUGUAUAAAUCCUAGCUGAUUUUUAUUAGGGGCAUAAAUACUUACUAUAAUGAUUUCAUUAUUGUUUAACUUUCCCCUUAUAAUCACGAAUCUUCCUUCCUUAUCUACGAUUUUUUUCUCUAACUCAAAUCUAUGUAUAUCCUUUAUUAAUAUUGCCACUCCUCUAGACUUAUUUGACCCCCGGGAUUCAUAUUGUAGUUCCCAUCUAUUUAGAUUUAACAGUUUUGUUCUAUCCCAUCCUUUGUGUGUUUCCUGAAGUAGGCAUACAUCAAUGUGCUCUUCCAGUAACAACCUGGUAAUUUUUUGCCUUUUAACCGGAGACGAAAGUCCAUUCACAUUAAUCGACAGAACCUUUAAUUCUUCCCCCAUUGAUCCGAUUCUUACUUUUCCCUCUAUUUCCCCAGGUCUGUUCCACUAUUUUAGUCUUUUUUUUAUCUGUUCCUAAUCCCUGCCCCAGCUCCCAUAGCUUCCCCCCCUCUGGAUCCAUAGCCCCCAGUCUUGAAGCCGGGGCUGCUCGGAAGGACCUCCUCACACCCAUCCAGAGUAUCUUGAAGGCAGAGUCCCCUGCUGCAGCUUCCCUCUACCAUGUAUUGCCCCUUACCCCGUAUAAUACCCACUUAUUCUAUACAUUCUAUACAUUGUAUAUAUUCCACUUAUUCUAUACAUUGUAUACAUUCCACCCCAUAACUUAAAACUCUAUUCUUCCUUCUUCCUUAUUAAGUAUCAAGUUGCCAAUCCCCUAUUACGUCCCUUGAAUUUGUCACAGCCUUCUUUUUCCUGCUCAAUCUACUAAAUAACAAUACAGUUACUAACAAUACAGUCUCUAGAUUCUCAUAAUAAUCAUUAUUUAGUGAGCAUCUUAAUUUAAUACCCUUUAGCAAUUCUUAGUUGCAUUGGUGAGCAGCAGCACCUUUGGGUUCAUUCUCUUAGCCAAUUACAGAUCCACUCUAAUCUGCUGUGCUUGGUUGAGGCACUACCUGGCUGAAAAGUGAGGAGAGAGAAGGGCAUUUCCGCCUCCUGAUGUCACUGGCAUUCCACCACAGAAGCGCCCAGCAUCAUCAAACCAGGAUCUCCAGCCAAAGCAGCCCCAGCAGGAAGUAGAUUGCUUGACAGCCAGGAUGACCUGAAGCCAGAACCUCUCUUCAGGACUGUGAAGGACCUUGAGAAAAAAGCUGCAGCAAAUGCAUGAUAAUUGGACUGCUUCUAUUGGACAUUUGUGUAAGUAUGAUGGAGUCAACACAACUGCAGGAUUAUGAUCCUACUGAUAUCAUGGUGUGUGUGUGCAGGAGAAGCUGCUGGUGAGUUGUGCAAAAAGAGGGCCAGGCUGUAUGACCAUGUUCCAGAAGCAUUCUCUGCUGACGUUUUGCCCGCAUCUAUGACAGGCAUCCUCAGAAGUUGUGAGGAUAUUUUUUUCGUGUCAGGAGCAGCUUGAGAAACUGCAAGUCGCUUCUGGUGUGAGAGAACUGGCCAUCUGCAAGGACGUUGCCCAGGGGACGCCUGGAUGUUUUGAUGUUUUUACCAUCCUUCUGGAAGGCUUCUCUCAUUUCCCCGCAUGGAGCUGGAGCUGAUAGAGGGAGCUCAUCCACGCUCUCCCCCGGUUGGAUUCGAACCUUUAGAAACCUUCCCCACUCUCCUGCCAGCUCUUAUGACUCACUUCAAGACUGGGCAAGAGGCCUGUGUGGAGCUCUUAC